rnacentral:rRNA from 1 species
GAUGAACGCUGGCGGCGUGCCUAAUACAUGCAAGUCGAGCGAACGGACGAGAAGCUUGCUUCUCUGAUGUUAGCGGCGGACGGGUGAGUAACACGUGGAUAACCUACCUAUAAGACUGGGAUAACUUCGGGAAACCGGAGCUAAUACCGGAUGAUAUUUUGAACCGCAUGGUUCAAAAGUGAAAGACGGUCUUGCUGUCACUUAUAGAUGGAUCCGCGCUGCAUUAGCUAGUUGGUAAGGUAACGGCUUACCAAGGCAACGAUGCACAGCCGACCUGAGAGGGUGAUCGGCCACACUGGAACUGAGACACGGUCCAGACUCCUACGGGAGGCAGCAGUAGGGAAUCUUACGCAAUGGGCGAAAGCCUGACGGAGCAACGCCGCGUGAGUGAUGAAGGUCUUCGGAUCGUAAAACUCUGUUAUUAGGGAAGAACAUAUGUGUAAGUAACUGUGCACAUCUUGACGGUACCUAAUCAGAAAGCCACGGCUAACUACGUG